rnacentral:rRNA from 1 species
AACGAACGCUGGCGGCAUGCCUAACACAUGCAAGUCGAACGAUGCCUUCGGGCAUAGUGGCGCACGGGUGCGUAACGCGUGGGAAUCUGCCUUUCGGUUCGGAAUAACUCAGGGAAGCUUGAGCUAAUACCGGAUAACGUCGCAAGACCAAAGAUUUAUCACCGAAAGAUGAGCCCGCGUAGGAUUAGCUAGUUGGUGAGGUAAAGGCUCACCAAGGCGACGAUCCUUAGCUGGUCUGAGAGGAUGAUCAGCCACACUGGGACUGAGACACGGCCCAGACUCCUACGGAAGGCAGCAGUGGGGAAUAUUGGACAAUGGGCGAAAGCCUGAUCCAGCAAUGCCGCGUGAGUGAUGAAGGCCUUAGGGUUGUAAAGCUCUUUUACCCGGGAAGAUAAUGACGGUACCGGGAGAAUAAGCCCCGGCUAACUCCGUG